CGGGGCUGGGAAUUGCGGCGUUUUAUCUCUGGCGGAGGGGCUGGUUUCUAGGGCAAACCUGGCUUUGGGCCUGGGGUUGGUGGUAAAAGUCGUAGUAAUUAAUUCUAACGGGCUACUGUUUCUUGAACACCUUUUACAUUUAUUGGCUUGUUUAGUCUUCACAUCCCCCCUUCCUGAAAGGAACUCUUGAAGAUCCCUCUGAAGGCUUACCCAGGACAUCCAGCUGUACAGUAAAGGUGGCUUCUCCUGCUCUGUUCUUGGCAACACAUGCAUAGGCCCCUGCAUCUGAAACUCUGACCACUUCAAAGAUGAGUGAAUGGAAACCCUUUUCAGACACUAUCAUUUUGUGAAGGUCAUCUGAUUGAACUGGUCUUCCAUUCAGAUACCAUGACACAUCAGGAGCUGGCAGUCCGCUUACCUGGAAAGGAAGACACAAGAAGGAGAUGACAGAAUUUUAAAUUAUAUCAUCACUGGUACCUAUUUGUCCAUUUAAAGCUUUUAACAGUUCUAGUAUCUGAGUGGGUUUGUGAUUCAAAAUGCGAAGCAGAAGCUUAAAAAAGUGUUUGCUUUCAACAGUGUUUUAGCAAAACAGUAGAAAUUAAAACUCUUGAAGUCAGUGUAGUAUUUUCAGACUACAUCAAACCAUAUCUAGCUCUUUUGUAUGCACUCUCAGGCCCUGUAAGAUCUCUCAGUUAAUAUAUUUAGAAAAUUAAUUUAUGUUAUAUAGGUCUCCCCAAGAAAAAUGAAGUGAUAGGACUUUUUGGAUAGUGGUAACUGUAGUUGAAGUCCCAGAGGGAUGUACUUGUGAUGCUUGCUAAUUUAAUGGAUGACUUUACCAAAAUAGAGUGCUCUUGAGCUGUAAUUCUGGUGUUUAAAUUCUAGUUUGUUGAGUGUUCUCAUAUAAACCUUAACAAUUAAAUCCAUACACUGACUUUCAUUCACAAGAAAUCCAGAAAAAUAUUUUAUAGAAAAAUAUCUCCAAAAUGAGAAUAAUAAAAAUGUCCAUCUUUCUAAAGAUAACUUCUAGCAUGAAGAUCUCUUCUAAGCCAGGUGAGCAGGUUGGCUUGAAUUUCUUAAUGGAGAAAAAUUAAAGAGGCAUUCUGCUUUAGAAAUCCUGUUGGUUUGAUAGCUUUACUUACAUAGAUUAUGUAUUGGGGGUAGGCACUAUUGUGAGUACAUAAUGUCUGUUUACUCAGUUAAUCCUCAUAACAACUUUAUGAGAUAUAUUUGUUACUCUGCCAUACAGAUGAGACAAAAGCACAGGAAGGUUAAGUAACUUAUAUAAGGUUACAUAGCUGGGAAGUGGCAAAGCCAGGAUUCAAACCCGGGUAAGGUUGGUUCCAGAAUAUUUGUUCUUAUCUACCAUACGUGCUGCUUGUUACGGUGUGUAGCAGGUUAUGAAGAGGAAGAGGACACUUUUCAAAAUAGUAUCUUGUUGCUAUUUUUCCUUCAAUAUAAUUUUGAACUCUUACUUUGAAGUCCAUUCUGCAGAAUCUUCCUUCUUCAAUUGACAUGUUCUCUGGCACUUGAAUGAAACGAGGUGGGUAAAAUUUCUCCUGGAUUGCAUCCUGAUCAUUCACAUCUCCCCUUGAAGAUGAUCUGCUUCUACAAAAAUAUUUUAAUAAUCACUAUACAGGAAAGUUGUCUUUGUUGUUCCUUUUACACAAAGAUAGUUUAGCUAUCGUAUUGGAAUCCCCAGAGUCUAUGCUAUUUAGUGUGUCAGUGUAAUAACAAUAGAGAGAGGCCUUAGGACUGUAUUUAGUGAUGGCGUAUUUGAAGACUAUUAGAAAUGGUAGCAAUUUAGGAAGAUCUGGUACAAAGUAUACAUCUUUAUUUCUUUUAUACAGUGCUACAAACUGAUGAAGAAACUGAUCUGUUAAAAUGGAGAGUACUUCCCAUGGACAGUUCUUAUCAUGUGCAAUGAUUUGGUAAUUAGUAUUCGGUUUUGAUUGUCAUGAGAUAUUUGCUUAACAUGGACAUGUGGUCCUGGUUUAUUUGACCAAAACAUACAGUUUUAAGCUGAAAAUAUUUUUGGUAGCAAAAGAGAUAGUUCUUUAAAAAUUAAAAAAAAAUUUAUUUACCUUACUUGUGAUGUAGGAACUUGCAGUCGUGUGUGUUCUAGGUUGUGCUGUUUGAAAUUAUAACAAGGUGAGAAUGUUAAUAUGUGGUUACUAGCUUGAAAUGAAGCAGAAUUAAGAAGUCAUAGUUGAAACGAACAUUUCUAUAUUGGCUGUAUUUGUGCAGUUAUGGUUAAUUCCAUAUACAGUAGAUCCUUGAACAAUGCAGGUUUGAGCUGCACAGGUUCACUUAUUAUGUGUUUUUUUUUUUUUUUUUUUUUUUUUAAGAUAAAAUACACUCCAGUACUUUAAAUGUAUUUUCUCAGCAUUUUUUUCCUCUAGCUUAUUUUAUUGUAAUAUAGUACAUAAUACAUAAAAUGUACAAAAUCUAUGUUAAUCUACUUAUUAGUAAGGUCAACAGAAGGCUUUUAGGUAGUUAAGUUGUUGGAGAGUCAGAAGGUACAUGGGGAUUUGAACUGUAUGGGGGGGGUCGGCACCCCUAACUCCUGUGUUGUUCAAGGAUUAACUGUAUUAAGUACUUACAAUAUGGUGCACUGACUUUAUAAUAUUCUUGCAAGAAAUGUCCAGAAUUAAAAGGACUGUUUAACAGUAAUGAUACAUGAAAAUGAGCUAGACUUUGAAUUCAUGGUAGUUCAUUUUUUGUAUGACUGCUUUAUAACAAAGGGAAAUAUGUUCCCCUGGUGUAUUUGAAAUGGGAGCACAUGGUACGGAUUGUCCUUUAGUAAAACAGGAAUAGACAUGAAGUCACUUGUGUUGGCAGUAGAUACAAGGUAUUAUGCCCACUGCUCAAAAGUACACCAACAGCAGUAAACACAUAUUAGACUGGAAAAUGCUUCUCUUUUUAGCUCAUGGCACAAAAUCACGAUGGACACCAUGGAAGAUGUAUGUAGAGUUACGAGAAGGUUUGAAAACAAUAUUAAUUACUUCCUGCUUAAUAAAAGUUUAUUUAUUUAUUUA